GAUCAUGGCUCAGGAUGAACGCUAGCUACAGGCUUAACACAUGCAAGUCGAGGGGCAUCAGGGUGUAGCAAUACACCGCUGGCGACCGGCGCACGGGUGAGUAACACGUAUCCAACCUGCCCUUUACUCGGGGAUAGCCUUUCGAAAGAAAGAUUAAUACCCGAUGGCAUAACAUGACCUCCUGGUUUUGUUAUUAAAGAAUUUCGGUAGAGGAUGGGGAUGCGUUCCAUUAGAUAGUAGGCGGGGUAACGG
rnacentral:rRNA from 1 species